rnacentral:rRNA from 1 species
GAUGAACGCUGGCGGCGUGCCUAAUACAUGCAAGUCGAACGCAUUGAGAGAAGUGCUUGCACUUUUCAAUUUGAGUGGCGAACGGGUGAGUAACACGUGGGCAACCUACCUGAUAGCGGGGGAUAACGAGUGGAAACAUUCGCUAAUACCGCAUAACAAUAGAGAAGGCAUCUUCUCUAUUUAAAAGGCGCUUUCAAGCGUCACUAUCAGAUGGGCCCGCGGUGCAUUAGUUAGUUGGUGGGGUGAAGGCCUACCAAGACGAUGAUGCAUAGCCGGGUUGAGAGACUGAUCGGCCACAUUGGGACUGAGACACGGCCCAAACUCCUACGGGAGGCUGCAGUAGGGAAUCUUCCACAAUGGACGAAAGUCUGAUGGAGCAACGCCGCGUGUGUGAUGAAGGCUUUCGGGUCGUAAAGCACAGUUGUAUGGGAAGAAAUGCUAGGCUAGGAAAUGAGCUUAGUUUGACGGUACCAUACCAGAAAGGGACGACUAAAUACGUGCCAGCAGCCGCCGUAA